rnacentral:rRNA from 1 species
UUCUACGGCCAUGCCACCCUAAACAAGCCUGAUCCCAUCUGAUCUUGGAAGCUAAGCAGGGUCGGGCCUGGUUAGUACUUGGAUGGGAGACCACCUAAGGAGACCAAGUGCUGUAGGCA